ACCUUGGUGGUGUAGUGGCAGCACGCGUCCUUAGUAUGGAUAAAGCGCGGGUUCGACGCCCGUCUGAGACC